rnacentral:rRNA from 1 species
UUCGCAAUGCCCGAAAGGGUGACGAAGCGACGCCGCGUGUGGGAAGAAGGCCUUCGGGUUGUAAACCACUGUCGGGAGUUAAGAAAUGCAAGAAUGUUAAUAGCGUUUUUGCUUGACUAAGGCUCCGGAGGAAGCCACGGCUAACUCUGUGCCAGCAGCCGCGGUAAUACAGAGGCGGCAAGCGUUGUUCGGAAUUAUUGGGCGUAAAGAGCACGUAGGCGGCUAUAUAAGUCGGUUGUGAAAGCCUUCCGCUCAACGGGAGAACAGCAUCCGAUACUGUAUGGCUUGAGUGUGGGAGGGGAGAGCGGAACUUCUGGUGGAGCGGUGAAAUGCGCAGAUAUCAGAAGGAACGCCGGCGGCGAAAGCGGCUCUCUGGCCCAUAACUGACGCUGAGUGUGCGAAAGCUAGGGGAGCAAACGGGAUUAGAUACCCCGGUAGUCCUAGCCGUAAACGAUGGGCACUAAGUAGAGGGGUUUU